GUCAGUACGUAGGACGUCGCUGAAUGAAAGGGAAACAAGCAGAGUGUAUAACGGAGCUUUUUCCAGGGAAAUAUACUGAGGGUGACUGCUGCAUUCUAGCGGGGUGGUGCCUUGACGUGGUCACUUAAAAAUGUCAAGCUUAGUCGGGCAGAAGAAAGCUUCCUUGAGGCAACGUAAAUGUGGAUUUUGCAGGUCUAACAGAGAAAAAGAAUGUGGACAGCUGCUACUGUCCAAUAACCAGAAGGUGGCAGCACAUAACAGAUGUAUGUUGUUUUCAUCUGCACUGGUAUCUUCACAAUCAGGUAGCGAAAACAUUGGGGGCUUUUCAAUAGAAGAUAUACAAAAGGAACUAAAAAGAGGUAAAAAAUUGGUAAGUAGAUUCCUU